UACGUAGGGUGCGAGCGUUGUCCGGAAUUACUGGGCGUAAAGCGUGCGUAGACGGUUAUUUAAGUCAGGUGUGAAAGCCCCGGGCUCAACCUGGGAAUUGCAUUUGAGACUGAAUAGCUAGGGUGCGGAAGAGGGAAGCGGAAUUUCCGGUGUAGCGGUGAAAUGCGUAGAUAUCGGAAGGAACACCAGUGGCGAAAGCGGCUUCCUGGUCCAGCACCGACGUCAGGCACGAAAGCGUGGGGAGCAAACAGG
rnacentral:rRNA from 1 species